AAUGUUUUAUUCCGUAAAGCAUGUGACUAAAUAGUUAAGUAAUAGAUAAGUAUUAUUAGAAAAAUCAGUUAAACAGUUGGUAAAAAAUUAAGUUAGCUCUCAUUCUUUGCCAUAUACAAAAGUAAAUAACAGAUUAAAUGUAAAGACGUAAAUCUGAGCCAGGAUUAAAUAAUCUGAAGUUGUGAAAAGAUUUUCCACACAAGAUUCCAAAAGUUGAAAUCAUGAUGAAAAAGAUUCGUCAACUUGGAUAAAUGAAAAUGACUUACCUUGUCAAUAAACAUCACAGAAAUUGAAAAAAGAAAAGAAUGCAGAAACUUUUUGCAUCUUAUAGAAAACUUUAAAUAUUAAUACGAAAGAAUGAACCGCCCCAAAGACAAGGAGUCAAUAUUCAAAGAAAGAAAGACAAAGGAAAAAAUGGGCAACACCCUAAUAAACAAAGAAAGCAAACUAAAACAGCAGUUUGUUUGACUGCCUUAUCAUUAUAUAUCUAAAGAAAAUAAAAAUGAUAUUUUCUUUCUAAGGUGAAGAAGCACCAAAAUGCUAUGGAUUUUUUGCCUGCUGAAUUGGUAUUGGUUAAGAAGACUCAUACCACUGUUGGGGAGAAUGUGGGAAAGUGGGCCCUCCCAAGCACUGUUGGAGAGAGAAAUUUGUGUGAUCAUUACAGGAAGUAAUCUGCAUAAAACUUGAAAUAUGCACAUCCUUUAAAUAAAACAAAUCCACACCUGUCUGUAUUAGUUAAAUGUUCGGAAUAUGUGAUUUUCUAAUAAAAAAUAAAGAAGAAAAGAUUUGCAGGCAAACCCCAGCAAUGGAAACUUGGGGAAGUAAAUUAUUAUCUCUGAUAUUUGGUGUUCUCACCUAGAAAAACUCCUGUGAUUACUUUGAGCCACCUCAAUCAUCCAGCAUGACCCCCCCAUCCCAAGAUCUUCAUCACAUCUGCAAAGUCUCUUUUGCCAUUGAUAUUACAGAGGCUGCAAUGUGGUAAUCAAAGCAGUACACCAGCCACCGGAAGUCAAAACUGCUCGCCAGGACACAGCAGAAAGGCAGGAGGAAAGGGCACAGCGGGUGAAAGGGCUUCUGAGGAAGGCUUCCACGGUGGAGAGGAGGUGGGGGGGCUCGCUGGCCGAGAGCUUCUGUAGUGCACCGUUCCCACAGGCCAAGCCAGUAGAAAAGCCUGCCAUGAAAGCUCCCAUUGGCUGAGAACAUGGGACAACAGAGCCCCAGAAGAAUCACACAGUAAUCGUACUCAACAAAUCACGCACUAAGGAUGGCAUUAAAUGGUGUCUGUGUGUAUGUAUGUAGUGCAUUCAGCAGGUAGUUCUUGAACUUGGAUAAAAAAGGAAACAACAGCAUGUCACAGCCAUAGGACACCGGCCCUGGCAGCUCACUCCACUAACUCCCCUACAUUUCAUUCCAAGCUCACAAAACAGCUUCUUUUUAUUAUCUGGCUUCUAAUGGGCAUUUCUCCCUGACCAGUGAACACACUUAAUGAUUCACUUUCUUCCCACUAACCUAUUAAGCCAGCAUUAUAUGUCUUAUGCAUCAGGCCUUUGGUUAUCAUGGGUCUUUCUCUAAAAGACUGGCCUGGGUAUAUUAGCAGAUGAACUCUGCAACCAGCAAAGAUGGCAACCACACGCCUCAAUGUGGUGAUCACACCAAGGUUCUAAUCCCCAUGAAGCCCUGUCUCAGCAACCUCAGGCCUUCCUGGAUAACACUGCUAUGCUGAUGUGUCCUGAUCCCAAACCAGCAUUAUCCUAAGCUCUUUACAGUUGCAUCCAUCAGGAUAGGCUAGGUUAUGCUGCAGCAAGACUCUCCCCAGAUUCCGGUGGCU